UAGUCCGUUUUUUUUGUGUUGUUCGUCUUGGCUAGAUGAAAUGUUCUGGUCGGUAGCUAGCCAAGUGUCAUAAGGGAAGCCCUACAAGUGGUGGGCAGGGUCGUGACGUUCUAUCCAAUGCCGACUAGGUCUAUGGGAAUCAACAGUUUAGUCAUGGUGUGGCGCUCGGUACCCGGACGUGAACCUAAAAGCUGGUGGGGGUAGCAUUUCAUUGGUUACUUAGAAGUCGAGCAGAGAGUCCGAUCCCAUCAACAUAUGCAGCGGCAUCAACUAGUGACCCCAUGAUGAGCAAAUAAAUAUACUGGAGCUAGGCGUAAACAUG